CACUGGUCACACCAUCUUGGGUCAGCAAGCAUACGAUUUCUAAUCACUUCUGUUAAAACUUUAACUUUGGGCAGUUAAGUCAUUAAAACAAAGAUCAAAGAGAAAAUAACAGAAUCUGCUAAAACAUGAAACAGCUGCUGGAAAAGGAGGAGGGGUCAGCGAGGAGGUGCACCUGUGGGCGAGUUUCGUACAAGACCAAGAGAGAGAAAGAGGGAGCGUCAGCAGGUAGAACAGGUUUGGGUGAGGCCGGCACAAGAGCAUGUUGGAAAGCUGAGACGGUUCAGUCAGAUUUGCUGCUUCGUUCAGGUUCAUUUUCUUUCACUAAAGACAUUAAAACAAAGGCUUGAGUUCUAAUCAGAAGACAACACACACCUGUGGAUGUGGACAGGUCUUUCUCCGACUUCUCUGAUUGGCCAGUCUGCAGAUUGACUGAUUGUCUUAAGCACCGCCUCCUCCGGACACUGCUAUGUCUUCAAACAUCAACAUCUCCCCAGAAAACCCGUACGGUCAGGUGACUAUUCCAAGGGCAAAGCUGCACCGUCCCUCUGAAGAAAUCGGAACGGUGAUUUACAAUCCGAUGACUCUGAAUAGCGAGAACCCGUAUGCGGAGAAGAGCUCUGCGCCCCCACCAUAUACAGUCAAAGAAGACGAUGGAGGGGAGGAGGAAAUGGGUCGCUGCCCUGCAUGCUGUUACCGCUGCCGCAGGAGGAAGUGAAAUCGUCAUGGCAGGAGAACCGUUUCAAUGCCUCUCCAUCUGCUCGGUGCCAAUCAAACUGACCAAUUCUGCCAGAAUUCAACAGGACCCAUGCAGAACCAACUACACACAGAACAUCCGUGUUCCCAGAGCUUUAAAGAACGUGGAAAACCUUAGGACCACAGAAUCCAGAAGAAUGUUGGGACAUUGUUUUAGGGAUCCUGGGGCCUCUGAGAAGCUUAGAGAACCUGUAGACUGCUGAGUGUCUGAUGGUCUUUUUGACUCCGUUUCCCUUUUCAGGUACAACCCUGUCGCAGUUCUGGUGUUGGAAGGAUUCAAGGAUUGCGGCUGAAAAGUUGCUGAUAUCAUGUCUGCUCAUGUUCAAACGUUAGGAGUCAUAUGCCACCUUCUAUGUUCCAGGCAAUCCCGUUAGAAACCCUUUCAGGCCCUCCUUCCACCGCUAAGCAUGUUGAGACAAAAACAAAAGCUGCUUCAUAUUUAAUCUUGAUGAUUUUUUACAAUCUGAUAAUUGAACCCGAAAUCUUUUGAGCAAAUGAUGAAGUGAUGAAUGUUGUUGCUGUGAAAGGAAAAGUUUUUUGUUUUAAAAAUAAAUUAUUCUUUUGUAGAAAUUUCUGUUUCUCACCUGAAAGAAUUUGGAGAUGUGUUUGAAUUUGACAUGUUCAGACCCAGAAAAUGUUUUUUCCACUAAGUAUUUAUAUUUUUCUUACAAUGAUUAUGAAAAAUUAUGAAGGAGUUAGUCAUAUGAAGCGUAUAAAUAAAAAGAACAUUUGCA